rnacentral:lncRNA from 1 species
UUUAUUAACAAAUUCACUGUAAGUUCAGAAAGAUUAAAAAUGAUGUUUGAAAGCCAACAUGCAGAUUUUGAUAAAUCAAAAUUUGGCUUAACUCCUUCACUUAGCAAUGAAUCCCUAAAGAAAAAGGUUAUCAAUUCACCAAGCAAACCAUUAAAUAAGAUAACUUAUUUCAAACAUGAAAAGAAUGGGCAUAACAACUUUACCUAUCGUUCUAACAUAAUUAAAUCAAGUAGUAAAGUUAUUACAAUUAAACAAAUUUGGGUUCCAAAAGGAACUAUAUGUCCUAACUCUCAAGAACCCAAGCAAGCUUGGGUACCCAAAAUGAAAAUAUGAGGAUGUAGAUGAAGGUGUGCCAAGAUACCCAUGAAACAAAUAGAACUUUCAUAUAAAUGGGUGCUCUAGACACACAUUAAAGAGUGAAACUUAAAAUACACUUAUGAAAAGUAAUUAAAAAAUAAUAAUAAUGAAAUCAGUAACCCUUGCAUCUCUUUAUUACUUUUGCUUUAGUAUUUGAUUAAAAUAUGAAUUGCAAGUAUUGAUCAAUUUUGUGAUAUAGAAAAUACUUUUGAAAAUAUUAUCAAAUCACUUCAUUUUAUAUUAUGACUUACUCACUAUUGGAUAAGUUGCUAAGAAUAACUCUAUGAAUUCUCUAUAUGCUUGAUUGAGAGUUUUUAUCCAUGGUAUUAUUGUUUAUCGAUCAUAGAUAUGAAAAUGUGCACUUGGUAUGCCUUUGAAUAUAUGCACUAUGAAUACCAAGAUUAAAGAAACCAUCUUUGG